rnacentral:rRNA from 1 species
UUAUGACUGAGUGGCGGACGGGUGAGUAACGCGUGGGCAACCUGCCCCAUACCGGGGGACAACAGCUGGAAACGGCUGCUAAUACCGCAUACGUUCUGAAAACCGCAUGGUUUUUAGAAGAAAACUCCGGUGGUAUGGGAUGGGCCCGCGUCUGAUUAGCUGGUUGGCGGGGUAACGGCCCACCAAGGCGACGAUCAGUAGCCGGCCUGAGAGGGCGGCCGGCCACAUUGGGACUGAGACACGGCCCAGACUCCUACGGGAGGCAGCAG